GACAGAGGGUGCAAACGUUGUUCGGAAUUACUGGGCGUAAAGGGCUCGUAGGCGGCCAACUAAGUCAUACGUGAAAUCCCUCGGCUUAACCGGGGAACUGCGUCUGAUACUGGAUGGCUUGAGUUCGGGAGAGGGAUGCGGAAUUCCAGGUGUAGCGGUGAAAUGCGUAGAUAUCUGGAGGAACACCGGUGGCGAAGGCGGCAUCCUGGACCGAUACUGACGCUGAGGAGCGAAAGCCAGGGGAGCAAACGGG
rnacentral:rRNA from 1 species